CGUAGGUGGCAAGCGUUGUCCGGAAUUACUGGGCGUAAAGAGCGCGUAGGCGGGAAUUUAAGUCAGGAGUGAAAACUGCCGGCUCAACUGGCAGCCUGCUCUUGAAACUGGAUUUCUUGAGGGUAUGAGAGGAAAGCGGAAUUCCUAGUGUAGCGGUGAAAUGCGUAGAUAUUAGGAGGAACACCAGUGGCGAAGGCGGCUUUCUGGCAUACAACUGACGCUGAGGCGCGAAAGCGUGGGGAGCAAACGGGAUUAGAUACCCCGGUAGUCCACGCCGUAAACGAUGGGCACUAGGUGUAGGAGGUAUCGACCCCUUCUGUGCCGUAGUUAACACAAUAAGUGCCCCGCCUGGGGAGUACGGCCGCAAGGUUG
rnacentral:rRNA from 1 species